rnacentral:sRNA from 1 species
UGAGCCCUGCAUCAACCGAAUCCUGACGCCUUGCGUCAGAGGCUCAUGUAGGUUGAGCGGGGCCUU